CCUGAAUACUGACUAAAAACUGUAUCACCUUCUUAUAUAAUGAGCUGUUUUAAGAAACUGGCUCAGCGUCACAUCCCUUCCUGUCUUUCUCUCCCUUGUCCGACCUCUUUCAGUUUGCUUGCAGAGUUACACAGACGGAUGGAGGACGACACCAUCACAGCGUGCCGCACUGUCGUCUCCCACCUGUAGCACUGGGGUCCAUCCUGCUUCUCUUUGUCAGCUUCAGCUCUGCCUUUAGUACAAUACUUCUGGACUUGACCCCUCGCCACCUGGAGCUGAGUCAGAGGUUUACUCACAUGGACACAGACUUUCAAUGGAACACUAACACCUUAGAGGCUGCAAGAAAAGCUAAAAACUGACUCAACUUUUUGAGUAUCUCCAUGAGGAUCAACAUGAAAACAGAGGUGAUGAGAGCUGUGUACCAUUGGAGGAUGGACAGACAGAUGCUGCAGUCCUAUGACGUCAUUCCCUGCUCCCUGUGGUUCACCUGCAAUCAAGUGUGAGUGACUACACCUGCGACAGCUCUGAUUACUGGGAGCUGUUGCACCUUGGUGGAGAACUAUGUAUUCCUGGUCCUCCCAGUGUGUAAGUGCCAGAUU